GUGAGGAGGAUGUGUCAAUCUUCUGUGGUGGUUUUACACCUGCAAAGCCCCCAGAUUCAGUUGCUCUCCAGGGUGAGUGUGUGGACUGUCAUUUCUUGCCUUUUUUGCCUCAGGAGCCCAUCAGUAAAAUGGAUGUCACUGUAUCCCAUUUCAAAAUGCUCUGCACUAGCUCUUGUAGGGGUUGUUGGUAGCUGUCAAGAGUUGUUCCAGGCAGCUCUUAUAUCAGAUUAAUUUUAUUUUCAGAUGAUAAAAGGAAACAUCUUUUUAUUUCUCAGGAUACACUUUAAUUUCUUGUUGUUUUAUUCCACCCCCUGCCGUGCCCCAUAUCUGCGCUGUCCCAGUGAACAAUAUCAGCUCUCACAUCAGAGGAUUUAAAUACUUGUACAAGGCAAUGUGAACAGCAGAAGGAAAGCGAGAUGACUUUACUACUGCUGGGAAAAAGCAGGGUCCCUCUGAAGAUAAUGAGUCCCUUUGUUUGCAAGACAGAGAGAGAGCAAGACCCCAAGGAGAAAACAAAGAUCAGCCUCAGCUCCAAGACAACAGACCAA